AUUAUUAUUUAUUAAAAAUAUUUUAAAAACAUUUGUCUCCAAAUAGGAGAAUUACAAAAUAAGCAGCAGGCAUUGGGUAUCAAGCAGCUGUUCACUGGUGGGCAGAAAGGGAAAAAAUCCCCCAAAGCAGACAUUGUUCUUGUGAGCCCAGAGAUUGGAUGCUAGAGUAUUCAGCUUUUUACUCCUGCUUUCUUUUGGACGUGAAAGGGGUUGUAUGCACAUUUAGAAACAAUAUGUGGGUGAAAUUACAAACCACCGCAUUUUCAAUUGAGAAUCUUCCUAAAACCGUGGCCUCUGAAGUAAAUCCAAUAAAUACCCUGAUCCAGAAAAUGGCAGAGGAGAGUUGAAGGGAACCGGGUGUCCUGGCCUUUCAGAUAACAGGUUGUUGGGCUGAGCAAUAAAAACAAUUCCUAGCCUGAGCUGGGAACGGAAACAGAGUUCUGUGGUCUCGAGGCGUGAGUCGCAGCAGGGAUGGUUUGCUCUCAGUUUUCCGUAUUGAAAGUGGUUGGGGUGGCUUUCAUAGACUACAAUUUAGAACCAGUACUCGUUUGUGCCCUCUUAGUUCUUGAAUUUGGCAUUGUUUUUCACUCAUUUAAAAUAUAUUGGAGCUAGGAAAGCCCCCUUCUCAAACACCCAGCUGCACAAGGGGGAGGGGGCGAGGCUAACAUUUUCUGGAUCCGCUCCGGCUGGCAAGCCAGCCCGCAGUCAAGCCUUGGCCCCAGCGAGCCGCCUUCAUCACGGUCAAAGCCCGAGUUAGGACCCGUAAAGCUGGCAGAGCCGGCCCGAAACGUCCUGCUGGAGCUCUCUCGGUAGCCAGGUUCCACAGAACCUAGGCUGGGCUUCAGCUCCGAUUCCAGCUUCCGAACCGGGGGGAGCUGGUGAAGGCUUCCCUGCCCUCGGUGUGGGCACACAAAGACGCCGCGGGUGCCCCCUCAGCGGAUCUCUCAGGCAGCCGCUAACGCAAGGCCGCCGCCAUCCGGUCGUGAUCAUAACCGAGGCCUUGUCUGCGCAGAGGCCCACCAGGCCAAAAACCACGGUCCUGAACAGCCUCCCUUACGCACCCCUUCCUCCGCACACUCAAUCCUGUGCACCGGGAAAAAAUAAAAUAAAUAAAUAAAUAAAUAAAUAAAUAAAUAAAUAAAAAUGAAAGCUCUAAGCUUUCUCUAAGCCAGCCCUUUCCCCUCCGGAAGGACGAUUUGGAAAGGAAACAGAUAUAGAAUUGGACAGAAAGAUGGAAGAUGCAAGAAAAAAAGAAAAAGAAAAAAGGGAAAGAGCAACGAAAAUGCAAAGGGAAGGGAUAAAAAAGAAAGAAGGAAAGAGGAUGGAAAAUAAGUAAAAUACACAGCGGCGACUCAGAGGAGCCGAGGGCGCGCUUGCAGAAAGGGUAAGCAACGAGGCCAGGAUACCACCCCCCAAAAGGACGAUCCCGACUCGCCUAUCUCAGCCUGGGGCUCUGCUGGCGAAAGAAUUUCCCCCCAGCUCAAGGCCGGAUUACAGUGGUGCGUCUGAGUUCCAGCCCAGCCUUGCAGGAGAACAGCAGAGCCCCAGACAGGCACAAGUCUACAGUAGGAAACGCUCAGGCUGCAAGCGAGCGCCCCUGACCUUGAAUGGCCCGGGGCCCAGAAUUCUUACCACGCCCCCGGCGUCCCAGAAUCAGCAGCUAACCUGACCAUACCUGCCCCGGGCCAGGUGCGGGGCGGAAAGCGUGAGGCGGGCUGGAAGGCACAGCGCUGAGGACCCGAAGCUCCUCCAGCCCUGGGGAUCCGAGGAUGCCACCGCAGGCCUGGCACGAUUAGGGCCUCGAUGGCCCGCCUGGCCACCCCGGCUGGUACCUGGAGACGCUUUCAACUGAAGUAAUGAAGGCAGUGUCGUGCUGUCGAGAGAAAGGUGGAUCCCAACAACAGGAAACUACCUAAAUCACCGACCAGUUCUGUUGCUGCCGGCGCCGGGCGGCCUCGCCCGCAGCCGCCUUCCGCUGCCGCCACCGUCGCCGCCAAGGAAAGAGCCCUGCUCUGCGAUCGUGCCCAGACCAGCCCUCCGCAACCUGCGCCAGCCACUGCCCUAACCCCGUGGUCGUGGAAGAAGAAGCCACUGGUCCCCGGGAAGUCAGCCAGGUCAAGCCCUUUAGCUAACUAACCUGCAUGUCCACGUUUCGAUUCUCUGCUCUUGGCCAAGGAAGAAAAGAAAGAAGAAAAGAGAAAUCAGGCCUGUACUCCCUGAUUAAACACAGCCCAGCAGCACUCCAGGCUGGCGAACCCGGUGGCGGCUCCCUGCACCAUUGACCUCAGGCCAGACACCUCAGGGCCGACAAUGGGACCUGGGGCUUCCGGCUAAGUUUACCCAGGGCUGGGCAGGAAACCAGAUCUAUGUCGGAGUACUGGGGCUGUUUCUAGCAGUAGGGACCCCCCCCCCCCCGAGGCAGCGAACCCAGCCCCGUCCGGACUUGACAGUGAGGACAAUCUCAAUCUCUAUAGAAUUUUAGCGAUAUGGCUUUUUCCCCCAGAAGACAAGUAAACCAACAC